rnacentral:rRNA from 1 species
AUUGAACGCUGGCGGCGUGCCUAACACAUGCAAGUCGAGCGGUAACAGGUGUAGCAAUACAUGCUGACGAGCGGCGGACGGGUGAGUAACGCUUGGGAAUCUGCCUAUUAGUGGGGGACAACCCGGGGAAACUCGGGCUAAUACCGCAUACGCUCUACGGAGGAAAGCCGGGGACCGCAAGGCCUGGCGCUAAUAGAUGAGCCCAAGUCGGAUUAGCUAGUUGGUAGGGUAAUGGCCUACCAAGGCGACGAUCCGUAACUGGUCUGAGAGGACGACCAGUCACACCGGAACUGAGACACGGUCCGGACUCCUACGGGAGGCAGCAGUGGGGAAUAUUGGACAAUGGGCGAAAGCCUGAUCCAGCGACGCCGCGUGGGUGAAGAAGGCCUGCGGGUUGUAAAGCACUUUUGUCCGGAAAAGAAAAGCACUGGGUUAAUACCCUAGUGUCAUGACGGUA